ensembl:lncRNA
GACAGUGAAGUGUCUGACACUGACCAUGUACCAGUGCCUGAGAACACUGGUAUGGAGGGGGAGAACGCACCUCUUUACUGCAUUUGUCGGAAACCAGACAUCAACUGCUUCAUGAUCCUUUGCCAUGAUAAAUUGGUCAGUUUACAACCAGGAGCCGUACACCUUAACCUCAGAGGCCAGGACAUCCAGGGGCAGUGUGAACACACACUUCUUUAAAUGGGAUGCAGGACUGACUAUAGAGGGCCACCCCCUCGCCAGACAACCAAGUGCUGUCCCUGUGCACGGCCAGUGUGAGAAGGACUCUCACUAAAGUCAACCCACACAAAGCUGCUGGACCAGACAAUAUACCCGGACGUGUGCUCGGAGCCUGUGCUGACCAGCUGACUGAUGUCCUAGCGGGCAUCUUUAACAUCUCCCUGAGUCAAGCUGUUGUGCCAAGUGCUUUAAAACCACCACCAUCUUACCUGUACCAAAGACAGCUACAGCCUCGCAGUUCGAAGACAAUGGACGAUGCGAUCUCAUUGGCACUCCACCUAGCCCUAUCACAACUGGAUCAAUGCAACGUCCACCUAAGAAUGCUGUUCACUGAUUUCAUCUUAGCAUUCAACACCAUCAUUGCCCAGCAGCUGAUCGGCAAGCUGGACCUGCUCAGACUUAACACCUCCACCUGCAACAGGAUCCUGGUCUUUCUUACUGAUGGACCCCAGACAGUACAGGUUGGAAACAUAAGAUCC